rnacentral:misc_RNA from 1 species
UUUCCGUAGGUGAACCUGCGGAAGGAUCAUUCACGAGGUAAAAGCCUAUGUCCGAGUGAAUGUGAUUGAUGAGAAUAAGCCGGUCGAAGACUGGCUAUUCGAGGCAAUUGCAUUUUCACGGAAUACAUGGCAUAAGUGCCGGUGUGCAAGUUGUUGUUGGUGUGUGUGGUUUGAGCUGGAAAAUGACAAUAUUGUCAUUGACAAUCAAUCUCAUCCAUCACCAUCAACGCCCACUAUUAGACACCAGAUUCAUCGUUUGACUGUCACAUAUUCAGGAAAUAAAUACAACUUUUAACAAUGGAUCUCUUGGCUCUU